rnacentral:rRNA from 1 species
UCCGCAAUGGGCGAAAGCCUGACGGAGCAAUACCGCGUGAGGGAGGAAGGCUCUUGGGUUGUAAACCUCUUUUCUCAGGGAAGAAGAAAGUGACGGUACCUGAGGAAUAAGCAUCGGCUAACUCCGUGCCAGCAGCCGCGGUAAUACGGAGGAUGCAAGCGUUAUCCGGAAUGAUUGGGCGUAAAGGGUCCGCAGGUGGCAUUGUAAGUCUGCUGUUAAAGAGUCACGCUCAACGUGAUAAAAGCAGUGGAAACUACAAAGCUAGAGUAUGGUCGGGGCAGAGGGAAUUCCUGGUGUAGCGGUGAAAUGCGUAGAUAUCAGGAAGAACAUCGGUGGCGAAGGCGCUCUGCUAGGCCAAGACUGACACUGAGGGACGAAAGCUAGGGGAGCGAAUGGGAUUAGAUACCCCAGUAGUCCUAGCCGUAAACGAUGGAUACUAGGCGUAGCUCGUAUCGACCCGAGCUGUGCCGUAGCUAACGCGUUAAGUAUCCCGCCUGGGGAGUACGCAGGCAACUGUGAAACUCAAAGGAAUUGACGGGGGCCCGCACAAGCGGUGGAGUAUGUGGUUUAAUUCGAUGCAACGCGAAGAACCUUACCAAGGCUUGACAUGUCACGAAUUCUGUUGAAAGAUGGAAGUGCCUUCGGGAACGUGAA